UCGAGGAGCUCUGAGGAGCCCACCAAGGGACGUGUGUCCCAGGGCCACCGUGCAGGCAAGUGUGGUCCAACUCCUUCCUCCCUUUACAAAACUCCAGCCUCACCCACACAAACACUGGCUGACAGGCCUUCUUAAGCCUUUUUUAACUGUUCAAAGGGAAGAGGUUUGUUAUGGGGCGUGUAUGUGUGUUUCGUUGUCACACCUUCAUUUUCACACACCGACUCCUGCCACUCUGAGGCCUUAAUCCCCGGGGCAGGAACAAUGUGCUUUUCAGAUAAAUUGUGAAUGUGCCCAGAGGGACAAGCAGACGAGAGCUGUGAGGCCAGGAGGGAACAACGAGGCAUCUUGCCAUGAGGUGUGCAGUGGAUCGGUGCUGCCAGCUCGCUGUGCCUGCUGGAGUUAUAAUUGCCUUUCGGGGAGUUUGGGGGUACUGUAUCAUGCAGUUUUGAUACAUGGAUAUACUGCAUAGUGGUGAGGUCAGUGCUUUUAGUGUAAGCAUUAUUUUAGUAGUGUACAUUGCACCCAUUGGGUAAUUUCUCAUCCCUCACCUCCUUCCCACCUUCCUACCCUUCUGAGUCUCCAAUGUCUAUUAUCAAUCUAUAUGUCCUUGUCUAGCUCCCAUUUAUAAGUGAGAACAUGUGGUAUUUGACUUUCUGUUUCUGAAUUUUUUCACUUAAGAUAAUGGCCUCCAGUCCCACCAAUGUUACAAAAGACACAAUUUCAGUUUUUAUGGCUAAGUAGUAUUCCAUGGUAUGUGUAUGUGUUUGUGUAUGUAUAUAUAUAAAUAUAUAUGUGUGUGUGUAUUUUAUGGUAUGUGUAUGUGUGUGUUUGUGUGUGUGC
rnacentral:lncRNA from 10 species